rnacentral:rRNA from 1 species
UACGAAGGGGGCUAGCGUUGUUCGGAAUCACUGGGCGUAAGGCGCACGUAGGCGGAUUGUUAAGUCGGGGGUGAAAUCCUGAGGCUCAACCUCAGAACUGCCUCCGAUACUGGCAAUCUCGAGUUCGGAAGAGGUUGGUGGAACAGCUAGUGUAGAGGUGAAAUUCGUAGAUAUUAGCUAGAACACCAGUGGCGAAGGCGGCCAACUGGUCCGACACUGACGCUGAGGUGCGAAAGCGUGGGGAGCAAACAGG